GGCCCGCCCAGGACGCGACAACACCACCGGCGGCUCGCGUGCCCCCUCCCCGACUGACGGCGGCCUCUCCGGCGCGCCUCCCGGCUCCCGCCGCCGCUCUCACUGCUCCACCGAAACUUUCCUACUUACCAAACCCGUCGCCAUUACCAAGUCUUUCAAGCUUCGUCUUCCCCCUCCCCUCAACCCCCCGGGGGCCGAGCCUCCUCCCAGCUCUUCCGCCCUCCCAUUGGCCUACGGAACUGCCCUUCGGCGCCUCCCCUUUCCCAUUGGGCGCUCCCGUGGCCCGUCUCGGGAGGCGGGCUUGUAUUGACUUUUGCGUUGUGUUCACUGGGGAAGGCGGCCUGUCAGUCACAGGAGUGAGCGCUCCGGAUUGGACUGCUGCCGAGACUCCGGGGACCCAAGCCAAACUUUGCCCCCGAAAUGGAUUGUGGGUUCGUAGUCUCGGCCUUGCUCUGUUCCGGGAAACCGCGGGCACGAGGAACCGGUUGGACUACAUAUCCCAGAGGCUCAAUAUGGGAAAAAACAGGGAGCCAAGAACUGCACGGGGGAACCGAGAGCUCGCAGGUGCCUGGAGUUUGCCACCCGCUCACCACAACUUGGGAACCCAGUGAGACCAUCAGUACAGUCACACGAACACACCAAAUGCAGGACAGGCACGUCCCCUGCUCUGACUCCUACCUAAACAUUUGACAGUCCCGAUGGCGUGUGCGGAAGCUGCUCGAGGUUUGUUAGUGACCAGAGCCAGUUCUCCGAAGUACUGUCCCCGGGAACACCGAGCGAUUUCCACGGCGCCGUCCUCUUCCACCUCUGACUUCCCCUGACAAGCCCUGAGAUCAGUCCGGCUCCACCGUAUGGACCCUCUGCCCGAAAAGUGAAGCCCACCCCCCCACUGGAACAAACUAUCUCACCGUCUACACUGAGAGGCUGUGAUCAAUGAUUACAUAGUCGCGAGCUCAUCUGUAAAAUUGUUUGAAAUAAUAACAACUCUCCCAUGGCACUUCUUGCUAAAACUAGCCAAGAAAAUAUGACAAAUACAGAGGUAAGAAUUGUGCCCCAAGUCCAGCCUGGGUGGCAGCGUACAUAGUCAGGAACGGAGUGCCAGGUCCCAGCACAGCCCCUGCCCUGCCAGCUGAUCCCGUGCUCCUCGAGAAGCACUCGGAUGGGUACCCCGUGUCCUCUGACAGCAAGCAUCAGCACGGGCACCCACAGAGGAGAAAACCACCAGCCUUACCAGGAAGCAGUCCACGGGGGCCCUGACAUUGUUACAGAUGUCCCACUCCACCUCGGGGCCUCAAAAACGCUUCUGAAAGCCUUUCUAACUACAUCCCCACUUUCCCUUCUUUUUGUUUUUGGGUGAACUCUGAUUUGAUUCCCAAUGAUGCCUUCUGAAUUAAAUAGUACAGGACAGAUGAUAGCAGAUACUGACUUUUCGGGAGCCUCUCAAAGCGAUUCUAGAGAAACUUGUGUAUUCUGAAACUCUUUAGUACAUAUAAUUCAAGAAACACAGUAUCAGAUUACAUCACAAAAAUGUGGACUGUAGAUUUAUGUAAUGUAUGUUUAUAAAUGAUUAAAAGACAAGUAAUAUCUAAAAAGACUAUAAUCUCUUAUCUUUAUUUCAUAAGAGCUUCCUGUUAGAUUUUUAAGUGUUUAAAAUCAUAAUAAG